rnacentral:rRNA from 1 species
ACCCUGGAACAUGAGAAUACGGUCCCCAGAACUCCUACCGGGAAGCAGCAGUGGGGAAUAUGGACAAUGGGGCGAAAGCCUGAUCCAGCCAUGCCGCAUGAGUGAAGAAAAGGCCUUGGGUGUAAAAGCUCUUUAGUGAGGAAGAUAAUGACGGUACUCACCAGAAGAAGUCCUGGCUAACUCCGUGCCAGCAGCCGCGGUAAUACGGAGAGGGGCUAGCGUUAUUCGGAAUUAUUGGGCGUAAAGGGCGCGUAGGGCGGAUUAGUAAGUUAAAAGUGAAAUCCCAAGGCUCAACCUUGGAAUUGCUUUUAAAACUGCUAAUCUAGAGAUUGAAAGGGGAUAGAGGAAUUCCUAGUGUAGAGGUGAAAUUCGUAAAUAUUAGGAGGAACACCAGUGGCGAAGGCGUCUAUCUGGUUCAAAUCUGACGCUGAGGCGCGAAGGCGUGGGGAGCAAACAGGAUUAGAUACCCUGGUAGUCCACGCUGUAAACGAUGAAUGUUAAAUAUGGGAAGUUUUAUUUUCUGUAUUACAGCUAACGCGUUAAACAUUCCGCCUGGGGACUACGGUCGCAAGAUUAAAACUCAAAGGAAUUGACGGGGACCCGCACAAGCGGUGGAGCAUGUGGUUUAAUUCGAUGCAACGCGAAAAACCUUACCACUCCUUGACAUGGAAAUUAUACCUAUUCGAAGGGAUAGGGUCGGUUCGGCCGGGUUUCACACAGGUGUUGCAUGGCUGUCGUCAGCUCGUGUCGUGAGAUGUUGGGUUAAGUCCCGCAACGAGCGCAAGCCUCAUCCUUAGUUACCAUCAGGUAAUGCUUUUAAGGAAACUGUCAGUGAUAAACUGGAGGAAGGUGGGAAUGAUGUCAAGUCAUCAUGGCCCUUAUGGAGUGGGCUACACACGUGCUACAAUGGUGGCUACAAUGGGCUGCAAAGUCGCGAGGCUAAGCUAAUCCCUUAAAAGCCAUCUCAGUGCGGAUUGUACUCUGCAACUCGAGUGCAUGAAGUUGGAAUCGCUAGUAAUCGUGGAUCAGCACGCCACGGUGAAUACGUUCUCGGGUCUUGUACACACUGCCCGUCACGCCAUGGGAAUUGGUUUCACUCGAAGCUAACGACCUAACAGCAAGGAGGGAGUUAUUUAAAGUGGGAUCGGUGACUGGGGUGAAGUCCUAACCCGGUAACCGUA